GUCUCAGCUGCUCUUCCUCUAGUCCGGCUCCCGGAUAAUGUUUCUCCAAAAUCAACAGAGGAUGCCCCUUGUGCUAUGCUCUUGUCACCCACAUGGGAGAUCCAGAUGGAGUUUCUGGCUUCUGGCUUCAGCCUGUCCCGUUGUCUGUUGUGGUCAUUUGGAAAGUGAUGGAAAAAUGUCUCUCUUUCUUUUUCUUUUUGUCUCUGAUAUAUCAUUCUGACUUUCAAAUAAAUAAAUGUCUUUAAAAAUAAGAACAGGAAGCCAGAUUGAUAGGUUUAGCAAAGAGGAUAAUCUGCAGAGCAAAACAAAUAAUUAUGGUGAUGGAUUAUAAGCAGUUAAAUAAUAAAUAAAAAUAAUAAAAUAAAUGCAUCAAUGAACUAAUUAUUAGAGGAGAAAGACUUUUUUAAAUGGCACACCAAUGUAAAAAUGUAGAUGGUAUGAUGGAAUUAGACAAUCACUAUUUGGCUAUAAACACAGUAUUAAUUAAUUCAUUUGAGAAAUAUAAGUAGAUAUUAACCUAGUGGGUGGUAUUUUGAUGGGGAAUGGAAUAAUCUUAAAUUGAUUCUGGAAAAAUUCUUAAAAGGACAAAAUUGUUAACCUGCCAUGGAGAGAAUUGGCAGAGAACAGUUUAACCAAAUCAUUAACACUCACCUCAUAAUGGAUGGAGCAAAGUGAAACUGAGUAUUGCCUGGUAGGAUGUAUUAGGAAAGACACACUCUCCUUUCUAUCAUAUGCCCAUGGGAAAUAUUUGUAUAAUCCAAAUUUUAAAAUGAGUACCUAUCAGGUAAAUGUAAUCUGAGAUACAUCCUGUAAAGCAAUUGGUGUGUAAUCUUCACAAUAUCAGGGUCAUGAAUCUCAACAGCUCAAGAAUAAAGAGUACUAAAUGCUAAUGACAGCUAAAUGUAAAAAUUGAUACUGACUUGGUCCCUUGUACCAUCGAAGACAUUAUUGAGAAGAUUGGCAAAAAUUAUAAAAACUUCUCUGCUUGUGUGGCUGUGAAGGAAAAGGUGACUUUGAGGAUGAAUGAGUCGAGUUCCAUAGAGACGAAUUGUCUGGAGGGCAACAGGUUAACACACUCAAUCUGUGGUGAAGUGGAGCUUCCCUGGAGACAGUCCAAGAAGCAAGGACUCACAAAUAAGGAAGGCUUUAAUCUGUGUGUUCAAAUCCAGGAAAGACAUACAACCUGUGACAUGAUGAUAUGCUGGUCUCCUCCAUCAGUUUUCUAGUUUAAAAAUGUCCUCUCCACCCUGAUGGAUUUCCCAUCCUACUUUACCUACAAAACCAUCACAGAUGUUUUGGAAGUGGGGUCUUCUGAAAAGUAAUCCAGGUGGGGACAGAAGCCUGGAUAAGAUUUGAGAGCUUUCUUAUAACCAUACCACAAUCCACAUAAGAAGUAAUCACAGUGACUUCCAGGCCCUGCCAACCUGACAGCAACAUCAGGAAAGUCAGUUGGGAAAACUACCAUAUUCCCACUGCAAGCUCACUUCAUGAGCAGGGCUUGGGCAAACAUCAGUUUCCUGCAUUUGCAAAGGGGAGACAAAUGAUUUUUUCUGUCCACUUCUCAGAGCAUUUCCUUGGAAGGAAAACGAUGCCUUAACCUAGGUGCGUAGGUGUUUGAAGGAACUGUGGCUCUUCCACAGGUAAAGGAAAAUUCUCCUGAAGGCAGCAAUUAGCUUGACCAUUAGGUUACAGAUCUAACAAUUCAAGCAAGCAUUUGAUGUGUGGAUAUUGUCUAAGUUUCCAUUACUGAAGAAGCAGACUUCUACGGGAGCACUGAGAAGACAGGAUGAUUCAUUUUCUCACAAUGUAGAAACCAUUGUAAAAUAAUAAAAAUCAUCUCAAUAAG